rnacentral:misc_RNA from 1 species
UCUUAAGAAACAACUGAAGAAUUAGACUGGGAAGGUAUCCUGUGAUUACUUGACUAACAAACGUGAUGGUUAGAAUGCUUUUCAAGAAUGGAAACCAAAUCUCCAACUGACUCAGGUUAGUAAGACCUUGCACAACUACAACAGGGACGAGGAAUAAAAUUGUUAGAAGAAUACAUGCAACUACAACCACAAGCUUAGAAAUCCAUCUUCGCAUGAAUGAUGAAGAAAAAAAUGGAUAAACAUCAUCAGGUUCAGGGGCUUCCUCUGUAACCCACUGCGUGGGGUUGAUUGAUUGCUGCAAGUGGAAAGCAACAGCAGCACCAUAUCGAGAUUUGAAGGACACAAAGGCAGCUCGAGUUUCAUCUGCCAAUGACAAAUCAGAUUGCUCCAAUCUCACAUUCUGUUCUAUGUCUUCCAACCUCUUUCCAUAAUGAUCCACAAGAUCAACCUUUUCUCCAAAUAAUCCAACACGUCUAUACUUCUGCUGAGGGGGUUCCAAUUGCAAGUGAAGAAGCCUUUUAUACAAUGUCUUUGCUUCAUUUAUGAGACUCCGAAGUUUGCUAGUUCGAUGAACAACCAUAUGCGACAGAUAAGUGGUAGGGUGAAACUCUGUAAAGAAGCUCUCAACACUUUCACUGACACUGCUGCCAACUGAAACAGGGAUACCACGAACUAAGAUGGU